CACGUAGGGGGCAAGCGUUGUCCGGAUUUAUUGGGCGUAAAGAGCUCGUAGGCGGUUCGGUAAGUUGGGUGUGAAACCUCCAGGCUCAACCUGGAGACGCCACCCGAUACUGCUGUGACUAGAGUCCGGUAGGGGAGCGUGGAAUUCCUGGUGUAGCGGUGAAAUGCGCAGAUAUCAGGAGGAACACCGGUGGCGAAGGCGGUUCUCUGGGCAUGUCCUGACGCUGAGGAGCGAAAGUGUGGGGAGCGAACAGG
rnacentral:rRNA from 1 species